rnacentral:rRNA from 1 species
UACGGAGGGUGCAAGCGUUAAUCGGAAUUACUGGGCGUAAAGGGCGCGUAGGCGGCGUGUCAAGUCGAUUGUGAAAUCUCCGGGCUUAACUCGGAACGGCCAAUCGAUACUGACGUGCUAGAGUGCAGAAAGGGCAAUCGGAAUUCUUGGUGUAGCGGUGAAAUGCGUAGAUAUCAAGAGGAACACCUGAGGCGAAGGCGGGUUGCUAGGCUGACACUGACGCUGAGUGCGCGAAAGCCAGGGGAGCAAACGGG